rnacentral:tRNA from 1 species
GGGGAUUUAGCUCAGUGGUAGAGCGCGUGCCUAGCAAGCGCAAGGCCCUGGGUUCGGUCCUCAGCUCCG